UACAGAGGGUGCAAGCGUUAAUCGGAUUUACUGGGCGUAAAGAGCACGUAGGUGGUUGCAUAAGUCUGUUAUAAAAUCCCCGGGCUCAACCUGGGAACUGUAAUAGAAACUAUGCGGCUAGAGUAUGGGAGAGGAGAGUAGAAUUCCUGGUGUAGCGGUGAAAUGCGUAGAUAUCAGGAAGAAUGACAGUGGCGAAGGCGACUCUCUGGUCCAAUACUGACACUGAGGUGCGAAAGCGUGGGGAGCAAAAGGG
rnacentral:rRNA from 1 species